AACGUAGGACACAAGCGUUAUCCGGAGUUACUGGGCGUAAAGAGCGCGCAGGCGGUCGUUCAAGUCGCGUGUGAAAGCCCCUGGCUCAACUGGGGAGGGUCACGCGAUACUGAUCGACUCGAAGGCAGGAGAGGGUAGUGGAAUUCCCGGUGUAGUGGUGAAAUGCGUAGAUAUCGGGAGGAACACCAGUGGCGAAGGCGACUACCUGGCCUGUUCUUGACGCUGAGGCGCGAAAGCUAGGGGAGCAAACGGG
rnacentral:rRNA from 1 species